AAUCCAUUAGAAGAGUCACGUAGAGAAUGAAUUCUACUAUCUUCUAAGAUUUAAAAGUCCAUCAUCAAUAUUUUAUCCCUGUAACAACAAUCAAUAUUCAUCUUUGCACUACAGGCCAAAGAUAUUCAUUUAAAUCACCAGUCGGUCAUGUUCAUCUCAACACCUGUUCAUCUUUGCACUACAGGCCAAAGAUAUUCAUCAGUUAAUCAUUCAUCUUUGCACUACAGGCCAAAGAUAUUCAGUAGUAUCAUCAUUUAGGACUGAG
rnacentral:lncRNA from 1 species